AAGUUAUUGUAAGAUUUUUUAUAAAAAUAAUUAAUUUAUAGUAAUUUAUAUUGAAUAUUAUUUUAAUUGGAACUGUGAAGGAGUUAGUAUUUAAAGAGAAGAAGUUAUUAAUGGUGUACCUUGUGUAUUAGGGAGUGACAAUAUAAAUGGAUGUAUUUCUAUUUCCCGAAUUGUUUUGAGCUAAAAUAUUAGUGUUUAACGUGUUAGAGUUAUGAGUUAUUUUAUUUUAGAAAUGAAAUGUUAGUCGAAAAAUAGGAUAUCUGGUUACUUAAGAUUUUAAUUUAAUUAGUCUUGUUAUUAGCAAUUGAAUAUCUUGAGGGAUUAGCUUUAAGAUUUUUAAUAUACUGUGAUUAUAGAAUUUUAACUAAAUGCUUAUAAUCAGCAAUUUAUUAGGUGUUAGUUAUAUAACAUAAAAUUUUAAAAAGGAUUUAUAGGGUAUUUAUAAUGUAUUAAGUAAUUGUUUAGAAUUUGUUUAAGGAUGUAUAAUGUUACUAUUAGUAGAGGAUAAAUAACAUUGUGUAUAAGUGAGAAUUAAAAUUUAAGAAUUCAGCAAAGAAUUAUUCGCCUGUUUAUCAAAAACAUGGUUUCUUGAUAUUAAUAAGAAAUCUGACCUGCCCAAUGAGGUUUGAAUGGCCGCGGUAUUUUGACCGUGCGAAGGUAGCAUAAUCAUUAGUCUUUUAAUUGGAGGCUGGAAUGAAUGGUUGGACGAAAUAAUAACUGUUUUAGUUUUAGUUAUUGAAUUUUAUUUUUCAGUGAAGAGGCCUGAAAUGAAGCCAAAAGACAAGAAGACCCUAUCAAGUUUUAUUAUAGAUUUAUUUUUUAUUAGAGGUAAGACUAGAAUGAAAGUUAAUUUUACUGGGGCGGUGAGUUAAAACAAGCUAUGAUCCAAAAUUUUUGAUUAAUUGUUUAAAUUACUGUAGGGAUAACAGCGUAAUCUUAUUUGAGAGUUCAUAUCGACAAUAAGGGUUGCGACCUCGAUGUUGGAUUAGAAUUCCUUUUUGGAGCAGAAUCUAAAAAUGGUGGUCUGUUCGACCAUUGAAAUUCUACAUGAUCUGAGUUCAGACCGGUGUGAGCCAGGUCGGUUUCUAUCUUUGGUGUAAAGUUGAGCUUUUAGUACGAAAGGACCAAAGUUCUUGAAUUGUUCAAAUGAUAUUGAAAUAAGAUAAUUGCAUAAUUAAAAUAUAAUUUAUUU
rnacentral:rRNA from 1 species